AGCGAACGCUGGCGGCAGGCCUAACACAUGCAAGUCGAACGAACUCUUCGGAGUUAGUGGCGGACGGGUGAGUAACACGUGGGAACGUGCCUUUAGGUUCGGAAUAACUCAGUGAAACUUGUGCUAAUACCGAAUGUGCCCUUCGGGGGAAAGAUUUAUCGCCUUUAGAGCGGCCCGCGUCUGAUUAGCUAGUUGGUGAGGUAAUGGCUCACCAAGGCGACGAUCAGUAGCUGGUCUGAGAGGAUGAUCAGCCACAUUGGGACUGAGACACGGCCCAAACUCCUACGGGGAGCAGCAGUGGGGAAUCUUGCGCAAUGGGCGAAAGCCUGACGCCGCCAUGCCGCGUGAAUGAUGAAGGUCUUAGGAUUGUAAAAUUCUUUCACCGGGGACGAUAAUGACGGUACCCGGAGAAGAAGCCCCGGCUAACUUCGUG
rnacentral:rRNA from 1 species